UGGGGAAUUUUCCGCAAUGGGCGAAAGCCUGACGGAGCAAUACCGCGUGAGGGAUGAAGGAUUUUGGUCUGUAAACCUCUUUUUUCAAGAAAGAAGUUCUGACGGUACUUGAGGAAUAAGCAUCGGCUAACUCCGUGCCGGCAGCCGCGGUGAUACGGGGGAUGCAAGCGUUAUCCGGAAUCAUUGGGCGUAAAGCGCCCGUAGGUUGUUUAAUAAGUCUGUUGUUAAAGACUGGGGCUUAACCCCAGGAAAGCAAUGGAAACUACUAGACUAGAGUAUGGUAGGGGUAAAGGGAAUUUCUAGUGUAGCGGUGAAAUGCGUAGAUAUUAGAAAGAACACCGGUGGCGAAAGCGCUUUACUGGACCAUUACUGACACUCAGAGGCGAAAGCUAGGGUAGCCAAAGGGAUUUAGAUACCCCUGUAGUCA
rnacentral:rRNA from 1 species